rnacentral:rRNA from 1 species
GACGAACGCUGGCGGCGUGCCUAAUACAUGCAAGUCGAGCGGACUUUCAAGAAGCUUGCUUUUUGAACGUUAGCGGCGGACGGGUGAGUAACACGUGGGCAACCUGCCUGCAAGACGGGGAUAACUCCGGGAAACCGGGGCUAAUACCGGAUAAUAUCUUCCUUCGCAUGAAGGAAGGUUGAAAGGCGGCGCAAGCUGCCGCUUGCAGAUGGGCCCGCGGCGCAUUAGCUAGUUGGUGAGGUAACGGCUCACCAAGGCGACGAUGCGUAGCCGACCGGAGGGGGUGGGCAGCCGCCCUGGGACGGUGACACGGCCCAUAGGCCUUGGGGAGGCAGCAGUAGGGAAUCUUCCGGAAUGGACGAAAGACUGACGAAGAAGGGCCGCGGGAGGAAGGAGGAUCUUCGGAUCGGAGAUCUCGGUUGUCAGGGAAGAACAAGUACCGUUCGAUCAGGGAGGGACAGUGACGGUACCUGGCAAGAAAGCAACGGCUAACUACGUG